GACGAACGCUGGCGGCGUGCCUAAUACAUGCAAGUUGAGCGCUGAAGGUUGGUACUUGUACCAACUGGAUGAGCAGCGAACGGGUGAGUAACGCGUGGGGAAUCUGCCUUUGAGCGGGGGACAACAUUUGGAAACGAAUGCUAAUACCGCAUAAAAACUUUAAACACAAGUUUUAAGUUUGAAAGAUGCAAUUGCAUCACUCAAAGAUGAUCCCGCGUUGUAUUAGCUAGUUGGUGAGGUAAAGGCUCACCAAGGCGAUGAUACAUAGCCGACCUGAGAGGGGGAACGGCCACAUUGGGACUGAGACACGGCCCAAACUCCUACGGGAGGCAGCGGUAGGGAAUCUUCGGCAAUGGACGAAAGUCUGACCGAGCAACGCCGCGUGAGUGAAGAAGGUUUUCGGAUCGUAAAACUCUGUUGGUAGAGAAGAACGUUGGUGAGAGUGGAAAGCUCAUCAAGUGACGGUAACUACCCAGAAAGGGACGGCUAACUACGUG
rnacentral:rRNA from 1 species